rnacentral:lncRNA from 1 species
GUUUCUAAGGACUUACUCAAUACCUUUGGACUAUAUAAACUUUUACUGGGGAGGGGGCCGCCAGCCUGCAGCUUGGAUUAUUUAGAAAUUGCCUGUUGUCUGAGCCAACCCCCGACCUCUCCACCAACUCCCUUCCCUUCCUCACCUUCUGGCCUACCUACUUCUGAAAUGGACAAGCGCUUGAAAUCGGCUAGGAGAAAGACCACAGCCUCACCCCUACUCUUUGUUCCAUUCCUGGAUCCAGCCUUCUGACUGAAGAAAACAUACCAAAUUCCUGGACCAAGAGAAAGGACCUUAAACACUGAGCUUUUGACCGAUUCCUGUGAACCAACCCCUCCGUCAGCAGCAUCAAUCUCACACCCCACUCCUAUGACCUGUCCCUAAUCUUGAGUGUGUUGUAUCCAGACCUCAUUUGUCCAUUACAUUUGGA